AGCAUAUCAAUAAGCGGAGGAAAAGAAACUAACAAGGAUUCCCCUAGUAACUGCGAGUGAAGCGGGAAAAGCUCAAAUUUAAAAUCUGGCAGUCUAUGGCUGUCCGAGUUGUAAUCUGGAGAAGCGUUUUCCGCGCUGGACCGUGUACAAGUCUCUUGGAAUAGAGCGUCAUAGAGGGUGAGAAUCCCGUCUUUGACACGGACUACCAGUGCUUUGUGAUACGCUCUCAAAGAGUCGAGUUGUUUGGGAAUGCAGCUCAAAAUGGGUGGUAAAUUCCAUCUAAAGCUAAAUAUUGGCGAGAGACCGAUAGCGAACAAGUACCGUGAGGGAAAGAUGAAAAGCACUUUGGAAAGAGAGUUAAACAGUACGUGAAAUUGCUGAAAGGGAAGCGCUUGAAGUCAGUCGCGUUGUUCAGAACUCAACCUGGUUUUACUUGGUGCACUUUCUGAAUGACGGGCCAACAUCAGUUUUGACUGUCGGAUAAAAGCCUUUGGAAUGUGGCACCUCCGGGUGUGUUAUAGCCUUUGGUUGUAUACGAUGGUUGGGAUUGAGGAUCGCAGCACGCCUUUUGGCCGGGGUUCGCCCACGUACGUGCUUAGGAUGUUGGCGUAAUGGCUUUAAACGACCCGUCUUGAAACACGGACCAAGGAGUCUAACAUGCCUGCGAGUGUUUGGGUGGAAAACCCGAGCGCGCAAUGAAAGUGAAAGUUGGGAUCCCUGUCGUGGGGAGCACCGACGCCCAUACCAGACCUUCUGUGACGGAUAUGCGGUUGAGCAUGUAUGUUGGGACCCGAAAGAUGGUGAACUAUGCCUGAAUAGGGUGAAGCCAGAGGAAACUCUGGUGGAAGCUCGUAGCGAUUCUGACGUGCAAAUCGAUCGUCAAAUUUGGGUAUAGGGGCGAAAGACUAAUCGAACCAUCUAGUAGCUGG
rnacentral:rRNA from 1 species